rnacentral:rRNA from 1 species
AGAGUUUGAUCCUGGCUCAGAUUGAACGCUGGCGGCAUGCCUUACACAUGCAAGUCGAACGGCAGCAUGAUCUAGCUUGCUAGAUUGAUGGCGAGUGGCGAACGGGUGAGUAAUACAUCGGAACGUGCCCUGUAGUGGGGGAUAACUAGUCGAAAGAUUAGCUAAUACCGCAUACGACCUGAGGGUGAAAGUGGGGGACCGCAAGGCCUCAUGCUAUAGGAGCGGCCGAUGUCUGAUUAGCUAGUUGGUGGGGUAAAGGCCCACCAAGGCGACGAUCAGUAGCUGGUCUGAGAGGACGAUCAGCCACACUGGGACUGAGACACGGCCCAGACUCCUACGGGAGGCAGCAGUGGGGAAUCUUGGACAAUGGGCGAAAGCCUGAUCCAGCAAUGCCGCGUGUGUGAAGAAGGCCUUCGGGUUGUAAAGCACUUUUGUCCGGAAAGAAAUGGCUCUGGUUAAUACCUGGGGUCGAUGACGGUACCGGAAGAAUAAGGACCGGCUAACUACGUGCCAGCAGCCGCGGU